rnacentral:rRNA from 1 species
GACGAACGCUGGCGGCGUGCUUAACACAUGCAAGUCGAACGAAAAGAGGGAAAGAGCUUGCUCUUUCCGGAAUUGAGUGGCAAACGGGUGAGUAACACGUAAACAACCUGCCUUCAGGAUGGGGACAACAGACGGAAACGACUGCUAAUACCGAAUAAGUUCCAAGGGCCGCGUGGCCCAUGGAAGAAAAGGUGGCCUCUACCUGUAAGCUAUCGCCUGAAGAGGGGUUUGCGUCUGAUUAGCUGGUUGGAGGGGUAACGGCCCACCAAGGCGACGAUCAGUAGCCGGUCUGAGAGGAUGAACGGCCACACUGGAACUGAGACACGGUCCAGACUCCUACGGGAGGCAGCAGUGGGGAAUCUUCCGCAAUGGGCGAAAGCCUGACGGAGCAACGCCGCGUGAGUGAUGACGGCCUUCGGGUUGUAAAACUCUGUGAUCCGGGACGAAAAGGCAGAGUGCGAAGAACAAACUGCAUUGACGGUACCGGAAAAGCAAGCCACGGCUAACUACGUG